AGUGAACGCUGGCGGUAGGCCUAACACAUGCAAGUCGAACGGCAGCACAGUAAGAGCUUGCUCUUACGGGUGGCGAGUGGCGGACGGGUGAGGAAUACAUCGGAAUCUACUUUUUCGUGGGGGAUAACGUAGGGAAACUUACGCUAAUACCGCAUACGACCUACGGGUGAAAGCAGGGGAUCUUCGGACCUUGCGCGAUUGAAUGAGCCGAUGUCGGAUUAGCUAGUUGGCGGGGUAAAGGCCCACCAAGGCGACGAUCCGUAGCUGGUCUGAGAGGAGGAUCAGCCACACUGGAACUGAGCCGCGGUCCAGACUCCUACGGGAGGCACCAGUGGGGAAUAUUGGACAAUGGGCGCAAGCCUGAUCCAGCCAUCCCGCGUGGGUGAAGAAGGCCUUCGGGUUGUAAAGCCCUUUUGUUGGGAAAGAAAAGCAGCAGGUUAAUACCCCGCUGUUCUGACGGUACCCAAAGAAUAAGCACCGGCUAACUUCGUG
rnacentral:rRNA from 1 species